rnacentral:rRNA from 1 species
GAUGAACGCUGGCGGCGUGCCUAAUACAUGCAAGUCGAGCGAACAGAUAAGGAGCUUGCUCCUUUGACGUUAGCGGCGGACGGGUGAGUAACACGUGGAUAACCUACCUAUAAGACUGGGAUAACUUCGGGAAACCGGAGCUAAUACCGGAUAACAUAUUGAACCGCAUGGUUCAAUAGUGAUAGGCGGCUUUGCUGUCACUUAUAGAUGGAUCCGCGCCGUAUUAGCUAGUUGGUAAGGUAACGGCUUACCAAGGCAACGAUACGUAGCCGACCUGAGAGGGUGAUCGGCCACACUGGAACUGAGACACGGUCCAGACUCCUACGGGAGGCAGCAGUAGGGAAUCUUCCGCAAAGGGCGAAAGCCUGACGGAGCAACGCCGCGUGAGUGAUGAAGGUCUUCGGAUCGUAAAGCUCUGUUAUCAGGGAAGAACAAAUGUGUAAGUAACUGUGCACAUCUUGACGGUACCUGAUCAGAAAGCCACGGCUAACUACGUG